rnacentral:rRNA from 1 species
AUUGAACGCUGGCGGCAGGCCUAACACAUGCAAGUCGAGCGGAGCGGCGGACGGGUGAGUAAUGCCUAGGAAUCUGCCUGGUAGUGGGGGAUAAAGACAGGAAACGGGCGCUCAUACCGCAUACUAUCACAUGAGCCUAGGUCGGCUUAGCUAGUAGGUGGGGUAACGGCUCACCUAGGCGACGAUCCCUAGCUGGUCGGAGAGGAUGACCAGCCACACGGGAACUGAGACACGGUCCAGACUCCUACGGGAGGCAGCAGUGGGGAAUAUUGCACAAUGGGCGCAAGCCUGAUGCAGCCAUGCCGCGUGUGUGAAGAAGGCCUUCGGGUUGUAAAGCACUUUCAGCGGGGAGGCGUUACCCGCAGAAGAAGCACCGGCUAACUCCGUGCCAGCAGCCGCGGUAAUUC